rnacentral:rRNA from 1 species
UUCCUACGGGAGGCAGCAGUGGGGAAUCUUGGGCAAUGGGCGAAAGCCUGACCCAGCGACGCCGCGUGGGGGAUGACGGCCUUUGGGUUGUAAACCCCUGUCAGGGGGGACGAAAGCCUCCCGGUGAAUAGCCGGGAGGGUUGACGGUACCUCCAAAGGAAGCCCCGGCUAACUCCGUGCCAGCAGCCGCGGUAAUACGGAGGGGGCAAGCGUUAUUCGGAAUUACUGGGCGUAAAGCGCGCGCAGGUGGUGCGGUAAGUGGCAGGUGAAAUCCCUUGGCUCAACCAAGGAACUGCCUGCCAAACUGCUGCGCUGGAGGCCGGGAGGGGAGAGCGGAAUUCCUGGUGUAGCGGUGAAAUGCGUAGAUACCAGGAGGAACACCGGUGGCGAAGGCGGCUCUCUGGACCGGUUCUGACACUCAUGCGCGAAAGCGUGGGGAGCAAACAGGAUUAGAUACCCUGGUAGUC